rnacentral:rRNA from 1 species
CCUACGGGGGGCAGCAGUGGGGAAUAUUGGACAAUGGGGGCAACCCUGAUCCAGCCAUGCCGCGUGUGUGAAGAAGGCCCUCGGGUUGUAAAGCACUUUCAGUGAGGAAGAACGCCUGGUGGUUAAUACCCAUCAGGAAAGACAUCACUCACAGAAGAAGCACCGGCUAACUCCGUGCCAGUAGCCGCGGUAAUACGGAGGGUGCGAGCGUUAAUCGGAAUUACUGGGCGUAAAGCGCGCGUAGGUGGCUUGAUAAGCCGGUUGUGAAAGCCCCGGGCUCAACCUGGGAACGGCAUCCGGAACUGUCAAGCUAGAGUGCAGGAGAGGAAGGUAGAAUUCCCGGUGUAGCGGUGAAAUGCGUAGAGAUCGGGAGGAAUACCAGUGGCGAAGGCGGCCUUCUGGACUGACACUGACACUGAGGUGCGAAAGCGUGGGUAGCAAACAGGAUUAGAUACCCGAGUAGUC